GCAUCCCACAUUUAAAUAUAAUGUAGCAGAAAACACUGCAGCUUGGAGCAGUUAAUGUGAAUUUUCAAAGUCCUAUGUCAGAAGUGGAACUUUCCUCUCCUGGUGCGGCGACAAUGGUGACGAGAAAGGUGGGAAAAUUCGAUUAUCGGCUCAUGAAUCUCAUUCGGGGUUUGCCAUAUCUGGAAUCCUUGUGUACAGGUACCCGUCUGAAGACAAUGUGGAAGCAGACAACAAUUACUACUUUGUCAGUGAUCCCAGGAAGACCAGCAACAUCUGGGAGAAGAAAGAGGGAGGAGUCACAGGCGAAGAACAGUCAAGGAGGUGGGCACAUUUAUCGAGAUGAUAUGCAAGCCUCACUGUCUUUUUCUUUAACAGUCUGAAAGACAGUGCAGACGCUAAUUAAGGAUAUCCUGGCCCAUCAUCACUGAACUCUGUUAUCUGCCAUGGAUAUUCCUCAGGAGGAAUUGUGCUCAGAAGGACUGGGUGGCCAUCCCACCCCACUGACUGUCAAGGUCACAGCUGCCCUGAAUUUUUAGACCAGUGGCUCAUGUCAAGGAGCAACUGAAGAUCUGUGUGCUAUCUCCCUCUCCUCGACCUAUAAAUGAAUCUGGGAUUUGAUCUGAUGUUAUUUUCUGCAGCUCACAACCCUACAUAUCCUUCCCCCAUGACAAGGAGAGUCACACAGCUCAGGCAUCAUCGCUGGCUUCCCCCUGGGUGCAGUACACUAUCAAUUACUCUCUAUCACCAAUCUCAGGUAAAAUAAACCAAAGAACUGUGGAUGCUGGAAAUCUGAAACAAAAACAGAAAUUGCUGUUGAAACUCAGCAUCUGUGGGAAGAAAGCAGAGUUAACAUUUCUAAUCUGGCGAGUUCUAAUGAAGCACCACCAGACUUGAAAUGUUAACUCUGCUUUCUUCCCAUAGAUGCUGCCAGACCUGCUGAGUUUCACCAGCAAUUUCUGUUUUUGUACCAGUCUAAAGAAUUUGUCAACAGAAAAAUCUUCCACUCCAUCAUUGUUCAAAUUCUAGGUGACUCCCGAUUUGCAGAUUCUUACUGCUUCCUGUCUCCCUUCAUCGUCCUGGGCCCACAGGGAUGUCUGCUUAGUGCCUCCACACAUGGCUGAUUCCACCUUUACAUAAGCCUCAGGCUGAUUCAGAACGCAGACACAGGAGACAGUUAGCUUAUGGCUGAUUCGGCAAUGCAGAGUGAUAUCAACAGUGUGGGUUUAAUUCCCACACCUGCUGAGGUUACCAAUGAAGCAACUCCUUCUCAAUUCCUCCCCGUGCCUGAGGAAUGGUGACCCUCGGGUAAAACUACCAUCAGUCAUCUCUCAUCAUUACCACACACUGUGCCCUUCAUUACUGGAACCAACAAAGUUGGGACGCUCUGGUUGCAGAGAAAAUGGAGGAUCAAAUCCUCUGAUUUUUGAAGAGGAAAAUCAGGACAUUGACAAGGAGGGAUAUCCAAGAAACCACGAUAGAGCUAUGCACGGUCAAGCACAUCAGAUAGAACCUCAUUGAAACCUGCUUCCAGAUGGGUGAGAUGAGUUUGGACUUCAUUUUAUUCUGUUACUUUUUGUGUGUUACAUUUACAUGUAUAUGUAGUGCAUUUAGAUGUAGCAGUAUCGGCACUCCUCAAAGUUUUCUACCACUGAAUACACGUUGUUGUCAUCA